CAGAAAACUUCCCAUUCCCAAUACUUCUUUAGAGCACUGACCUUAUAUUGCUCCCAGUACCUCUUUAGGGCACUGACCUUAUAUCAGCUGCCAGCAGACUCAUCUCGGGAUCCCCAUUCAUCUUGUCAAAUUCAGUUCCUCUGCUCCACCAGAUCUUCUUUGUUCACAUUCUCAUGUCCCUGUGUUUAGAAACCACUAUGGUGUCGCCCUGUCGCUGUUUGAACAUCACUAUGCCAUGGACCCUGUUGGACUGAACAGAGGAGGAUGAAUGUGGAAAUAAAGACAAAAGAGUAUAUUUGGAAGAAGGGGUCAGGGGCACCUUGCUCUUUGUGAACAAAGGCCCUGAGCCUUGAGCUUCCUUUGUAUUUACUGAGAAGAGAUAGCAAGAAGGGGGUCGUUGUCGGUCUGCUGCUUGCUCCAGAGCAGCCUUCCAAGACUGCAUUCCUUGAACAAUAGAUUCUAGAUGUCCCAGUAGAUAACCUGAAGGAGCUCAGCGCCAGGGAGUGAUUGCCCUCAGCAAACCUUCUGGUGGCCAGCACAGAGGAGAGUUUGCCCCUGCUCUGUAUUCAUGAUAAACAGUUUGCUGUUUGAUCAUAUUGCCUCAGUGGAAAUUCUGAGUUGGUCAUGAUUCUCCAGCCUCUGGCUCUCUACACUGAAUGGAUUCAACAAGAAAGUGGUUGAAUUUAUGCAACUGUCUAGUUAUUUAUAAUGAAACAAGCAAAAAUUAGCCAUAAAGAAGUGAAUUGGGUGAUGAUUGUAUAAAAGAUGUGAGUCUAGGCCAGGCAUGGUGGCUCUCGCCUGUAAUCCCAGCAAUUUGGGAGUCUGAGGCGGGCAGAUCAUGAGGUCAGAAGAUCGAGACCAUCCUGGCUAACACAGUGAAAACCAGUCUCUAUUAAAAAAAUACAAAAAAAUUAGCCAGGCGCAGUGUCAGGCACCUGUAGUCCCAGCUACUCGGGAGGCUGAGGCAGGAGAAUGGCAUGAACCCAGAGGCAGAGCUGGCAGUGAGCCGAGAUUGUGCCACUGCACUCCAGCCUGGGUGACAGAGCGAGACUCCAUCUCAAAAAAACAAAACAAAACAAAACAAAAAGAUGUAAGUCUAGACUUUUCAGAAAGAGCACAGUGUGAACCAGUGCUCUCAACCUCAGCACUAUUGACAUUUUGGACCAGGUAAUUCUUUGUUGGUGAUGGAGGCUGUUGUGUACAUUGCAGGUUCUCUAGAAGUGUCCCUGGCUUCUACUCAUUAAAUAUCAGAAGAAAUCCCUGUUGUGACAACCAAAAAUUCCUCCAAACAUUGCCACAUGUUCCCCAAGGGUGAUGGGAGGGAAGGGAGGGGUGGUGAACUAUCCCUGGGUAAGAACCAUGGGUGUGAACCAUUUGAAAAAAUCUGUGUUGAACAAGCCACUAUUAGUUAUGGAGCAGCUGAGAAUUACUUUGAAAAACAUCUGUUGAAAAUCUUGGUCCUACAGAAAAUGAAAAUGUUGUAGAAUUCUGGUCCCAAUACAGUGCUAUGUUUCCAGAAAAUGAACUUGUGGAGAACCAAGAUUUACUGAUUUCCUUGCCUUUAUAAUCAGUCAUCAAAUCAUAUCAUUUAUCUUCCAUAGCAUCUUCUUUCUUAAUUUCUGUGCCACUGGUCCACUAAUUAUCUGUAGUAAUGAAUCACAACCAGAGCCAUUUUAUUCCCAUUUAAUGCCCCAACUAACUCAUUUCUCUCAGUCUCCCACUCCCAACAAUACUAGCAGGCAUCAAAUUUCCAGCCUUGGCCAGAGGUAGAACUCUUGGUUUUGUAGUCAAUUCCCCUCAGAAAGGGAGAAACCAAGAAAAUGACAUUCUCAUACAGACAGUUUGCAAAAAUGAGCAGGUCCCAGACUUUGAGUACGACCUUUGCAAAGCUCUCUUUGUCCUUUAGAAACGAUGCCCUGGAUCAAAAAUGUCUGUCUUUUUAUUCUUAAAUUAUCUAAGCACUUUCUUUACAGAGAGAAAGUUAAAAAAUAAACAUGUGUGAAGUCGCUGUCACUGUGGUUUGCAUGACUAGCACUGUAAUCCAUGCUCAUGUGUCCCAGUUAGGGUCAAAAGGUUUGGCAAAUAAAACCAGAGGAUGCCCACUUAAAUUUGGAUUUCCAAUAAAUUAUGGUGUGUAUCUGAAAUUCAGAUUUAACUAGGAACCUGUAUUUUAUUUGGCAACCUCAGGCCAACUUGCUAGUCAAACCUCAGAACAAGGAGUGAUUUAAUACUUCCUUGUGUUCUUCAACACAUGCCCAGGAGAGACAUAUAGAACUUUUAAAAUGAUAAAUGCAAAAUGAAUGAAAAUUUCUCCUAUACAUUGGAAUUAGCAGCCCUUGCAUCUCUGCUCCCACUUCAAGAAACAACCUGAUACAUAUGAAUAUCAGGAAUUCUGUCAAUAAUUCAGACACAAUCUGGUCACUACUCACUAAUAAUGGGCAGACUCUCAAUCUCUAGAAUCAGAGAAUCUGAAUAGAAACAUAAUCUCUUCUACUUGGGUCAAUUUUUACUAACCAAAGCCUUUUUGUAAUCUAUCAAAUGCAUUUAAUAAUAGCAUCAUCUUCACAGGAUUAUUUUUAAGUGUAAAAUUAAAUAAUGACUUCUUAGCACUGAUCACAUAACAAACACUCAAAAAUAUUUUCAUUUUAAUUUUUUAUGAUCCCUUUAACUGCAGCUCACAUUAUUUUUCUUAUUCCUUGAUUCUAAAGCAAUUAGUAUCUUCAUCAUGAUUUUGCAAUUGUUUUCUGUUCUUCUAUUAGUUUCAUAAAGAAUUGUCAUUCUGAAAACAUAGGGCAGAAAUACUAGCUUAUGUCUAAUAAUGCAGUAUACCUAAACAAACCUCACACAAAAGGCAUCUGCUGACAUAGGAGAAAGGGACUUUCUACAUGCUCAGAUUUAAACUGCAAUCUGAUUUCUAGCACUACAUUUGGGAUACUGGGUUUUACUUAUAUCUUCUCAAUUUUAGAUUCCAGAGAUGUAUAUGUUUUUAAACACCACAGAUAAAAUAGGAUCAUUAUUGAAAUUGUAUACUGAAAAUCAAAGGCCUGGUACGCAGUCACUGCAAAAUGUUAUACGGCAUGUACUGAUGGAGACCAGAUUCAUUUUAUUCAUCACUCCAUUCUCAUGAUUUAGAGUAGUAGCUGGCAUAUUCUAAGUCACUAAUAAAUAUGGGCUGUGUGAAAUAUUGGCUGUGUGAUGUUUUGCAUGAACAUUCACCACUGCACACAGGGACCCUCUCGUAUUUCCUUGCCAAUGAUGACUGAGCAUCUCUGGUUCACAGAUCCUCCUGCUUCUCUUCAGCCUUUUUAGCCUUCUCCUUUAGAUUCAGCUGGCUCCCUGAACCCAGAGCGCAGUCCUUCCCUGAAGCUCUCUACUCAGAACAGUCAACCUUAACCUCAUCCUCACUUCUAUUUGCUCUUCAAAUGGUCCAAUCCAUUUUCCAUCCUGGAUACUCCAUUGACUGCAAAUACCAACUCCAGCAAACCCAGCACUUGCUUCUCUCUCACAUUCUCACUUCACCCACUUUGUGAUACUCAUUGGCUUCUCCCUUCUUCUUGAAAAAAAUCUAUUUUCCUUGACUUACAUGCAUUGUGUUCUCUUGGUUUUUCUUCAACAUCCCUGGGGCUCCCUCUCAGUCCCCUUUGCUGGCCUGUGACUUCUUCUUUUUUCUACACACAAGCUAUUACCCUAUGUAUCCUCUUCCACUCCCUGGAAUUUAACAGAGUACACGUAUUGAUGCCAUCAACAUAAAC
rnacentral:lncRNA from 10 species